ACAUUGGAAGCACAGUUAGGAAGAAGAAAGUGUACAGCACUGGGACGAACUCCACAUAAUUUAAUGGGCUAAUGAUAAUUUAUAAACUCAGAGGAUAUGAUUCCUAAUCCUGCUCUUACAGUUAACACAGCAUGUGGUGUUUCUGCAUUAAUUUCUCUGGUUAUAAAAUAACUGUAUUCCACAACUCUCAAGGGGAUCCUACAAAAUCAAUUGAAUAACGACAGAUAAGUACUUUGAGCUUCUUAGCGAGAAAACGAAAUCUUAUAAUUGCCUUCUUCAACCACCUUCAUUUUAUUUUAUAGAGUGAACUGGAGUACAUGUAAGAGAUGGAUUAAUUUUAUCUCCCUUCAUUUUUUUCUUGGUAAAUCGUACAAAAAAGGAAUUCUCACAGAUGUGCAGCGUAUAAAGAUUUUGUUCAUAAAUGGUAAACAUAUGAUAUAACUAGCAAUGAAAUCACUUCUGCGACACAUUUAAGAAUUGAGGCAUAACUCUUUAUAAUCAAAACUCAUAUACAUAACAUACAAAAGGAUGCUUUUAUGUUAUAAUCCACUGUUAGAGUCAUUUGUAUGUGUUCUUUUGCUUUUCCAUAACAGAUAAUGGACUUUCACUGAUUCAUGUAUAUUUUUUUGGUCCAGAUUCAACUUUGCUUCCUGGCACAGAUUUUUAAAAAAUACCUGGCUAAAUUGAAAUGUGCUGUCCUUGGGCAAAGAACAGCUCUCUGUGUAGCACUAACAAGCUUAUUGUAUCUGUUAAUGUUAUUUUGGGUACAUGCAAUAGAAAGCAAUGGACCUUGGCCUACUUAAGUACAAAGGAGAUUUAUGAGAAGGUAGCAUGGUACUCAAAGGCAAUGAAAGAGCAGGGUGGCAAAGCUUCUGCAAGGGCAAUGCCAGAACAGCUCCAGGGACAAGGAAUUCCUCGAUGUUAUAACGAGGUAUUGUCAUCAAGUUGCCUCAUCUCUCCCGAGAUUGCAGUGGGUAGCUCUCAGUUUAUGAUCAAAAUUCCCAGGCAGCAUGUGAAUCUGAUUGCCCCAUCUUGAAGGUAGACCAUAAUGGUUUGACUGAGUCAGGUGCGGACGGCAGCAUCAGGAUCUCAUGAAGCUGAAAUCUACUUGUUAGAUUGCAUUCUCAUUCAGAGGAUCAGCGAGGGAAAGAUCGUCUUCCAAGAUCCCUCUGGUUGGAAGGAGAGAGAGUCCUUCUCAUUGGGGACGGCUAGGUUAGUCUUUUAAGGGUUUUCAACUAAUUAAGUCAGGCCCAACCAAAAUGACCUCCUUUUUGAUUAGUUCAAAAUCAACUGACUCGGAACCUACACUGCAUCUGCAAAAUUCUUUCACCUCUGCUAUGUUCUAUUGGCUAGAAGUUUGUCCCAGCCACACUUGAAAGGAGAUGAGUAUAGGGGUGGAGGACAUCAGAGAUAGAGAUCAUAGAUUCCAUCUUAGUAUUUGCCUCUCACAGUAAGUUUAGGUCACGU
rnacentral:lncRNA from 1 species